rnacentral:rRNA from 1 species
CCUACGGGUGGCUGCAGUGGGGAAUAUUGCACAAUGGGCGCAAGCCUGAUGCAGCCAUGCCGCGUGUGUGAAGAAGGCCUUCGGGUUGUAAAGCACUUUCAGCGGGGAGGAAGGCGGUGAGGUUAAUAACCUCAUCGAUUGACGUUACCCGCAGAAGAAGCACCGGCUAACUCCGUGCCAGCAGCCGCGGUAAUACGGAGGGUGCAAGCGUUAAUCGGAAUUACUGGGCGUAAAGCGCACGCAGGCGGUCUGUCAAGUCGGAUGUGAAAUCCCCGGGCUCAACCUGGGAACUGCAUUCGAAACUGGCAGGCUAGAGUCUUGUAGAGGGGGGUAGAAUUCCAGGUGUAGCGGUGAAAUGCGUAGAGAUCUGGAGGAAUACCGGUGGCGAAGGCGGCCCCCUGGACAAAGACUGACGCUCAGGUGCGAAAGCGUGGGGAGCAAACAGGAUUAGAUACCCCAGUAAUC